UCCCUCAAAUCGAAGAUUUCUCUCAAAUCUCUUUUCCCACCGAUUUUCACCCUUCAAAUCGUCCAUUCAACUUCCUUUCCUCUUUCUUUCUUGUUUGGGCGAUUCAAGCUUGCCCUAGAUUCUAUCCCUUUUCUCCAAACUGGUGAUUUACCUCUCCAAAAUUCUUUCUUUUUCUUCUAAAAUUCUUUUCUCUCUACCUCUCAUUUAGUC
rnacentral:lncRNA from 1 species